rnacentral:rRNA from 1 species
GACAGAGGGCUCAAACGUUGAUCGGAAUUACUGGGCAUAAAGCGCACGCAGGCGGCUUGCUAAGUCGGGUGUGAAAUCCCUUGGCUCAACCGAGGAACUGCAUUCGAUACUGGUAGGCUCGAGGACGGGAGGGGUAAGCGGAACUCCAGGUGGAACGGUGAAAUGUGUAGAUAUCUGGAGGAACACCGGUGGCGAAAGCGGCUUACUGGCCCGUAUCUGACGCUCAUGUGGGAAAGCUAGGGGAGCAAACGGG